CUGAGACAGGUCUCAAUUAAUUUAGAAAGUUUAUUUUGCCAAGGUUAAGGGCACGCACCUGUGACACAGCCUCAGGAGGUGCUGACAGCAUGCGCCCAAGGUGGUCGAGGCACAGCUUGGUUUUAUACAUUUUAGGGAGACAUGAGGCUUCAAUCAAUGUAUGUAAGAUGUACAUUGGUUUGGUCCGGAAAGGUGGGACAACUCAAAGCUGGGAUGGGGCUUCCGGUCAUGGGUAGAUAAGAGGCAAAUGGUUGCAUAUUUUUUUUGUUUUUGAGUUUCUGAUUAGCCUCUCCAAAGGAGGCCAUCAGAUAUGCCUUUAUCUUAGUGGGCAGAGAGAUGACUUUGAAUAGAAGGGGUUUGCCCUAAGUUCUCAGUUCUCAGCUUGACUUUUCCCUUUGGCUUAGUGAUUUGGGGAUCCUGGGAUGUAUUUUCCUCUCACAGGUUUGAGGAGAGAGAAGAACAUGCCUCCGGAGGAAGAACGAAUGUUCCUCAAACCAAAUGGGGGUCAGAGGGAGAGGUGUAAAGUACCACUGAGAAGUUCCUCUGGGAGAAGUUCUUUGCAGGGUGUGUACAGAGCCCCUCUUGGAGUCACAUGGAAAGAACUGAUGGCAAAUGAGAGCGGCAUGUCUGACUCUGGCACUGGACCUUGAGAUGGCAUCAUCCAUGCACCUGGAGGCCAGGAAUUCCUGCAGCGUGAUGCCAGUGGGCACAGAUGGAAGGAGGCCCAGGGUGGUGACCCCAGGAACAAGAGGAAGCGGGAAAUGAGCAGGACAAGAACACCCAAGGACUGCAGGGUCACUGUCACAAGGCACAUCGGAAGCCUCUCUGACUCGGAGAGGACUUGGAGCAUCUCUGCCCUCCCGUGAGGCCCAUGAGAGACAGCACUGAGAGUCUGGCCGUCUGGAAGCCAGGACCAGCUCUGCCCGGAAGUCGUAGAGCCAGGUGGUCACACUCCUCAGGGCGCUGGCCCAUCCCAGCCCCAGAGCUUCAGUCCGAUGGGCUCCGUCAUCACUCUCCGGCUGAUGGGGGAUCAGGCGUGGACUUCAGACCCGAUUCUGGAUGAGGAGAUGUGGGCGUGGGGAGGGGCCAGUCAGAGAAGCCCCAGAAGAUCUCCUCAUUGUUCCAAAGCUUCAGAUACGAUUGAGUGAGAAUAAGAAUGAUAGCCGCAAUGAAUCGUAACACCGCCACUGUGUCUACAUCCAUGAGUUCAUAAGAAAACAAAAAGAUAAUUGGUCAACUUCGGCUGCAGCUGGAGAACCACCUCAUUACUCUGAACACGGAUAAGUAAAGGAUAAAAAUGAAGCCUUUACUGACUUCUCUAUGCAAACCGUCCCUCAGGGCAGCUAAGUUGUCCCCGAGGAAGCCAUGAACCGAGGCAGCUAAUCAGCCGCU
rnacentral:lncRNA from 10 species